GGACCUAACGCCUAGGACCUAAAAAAAUCAACGGCAGUAACAAAAAAUGAGACCACCACCCACGCCGUUCUUCUUCAUUUCAUAGCCUAAGAACACCUCUGUUCUUCUUCAACACCAACGACGCCUGCUUCUGAACACCUAAAAAUCCCAGCCGCAAACCACCAUAUCUCCUCCACACCUGGCCGCCGCUGUCUCCCACCCCAAGAGAAAGCAAAUUCCAGCCGCCCAGACUCACUAUACACACACACACACAAAAGUUAGGAUUCUUCUGAAAAAUCAUCUUUGGGAAUUGAAAGUUACACAGAAAAAUCGCACAACUCCGAAAGAUCUGAAAACCAGGAAAAGGUUUCUAAAUAUCUGGAUUCCAAAGGGGUUUUUGAGGUCGAAAUUUGCUGCCUGGUUGCUGAAGUUUUCCGGUUCCGUGCGAUUUUAGUCGAGGUUUCUGGUUCGAGGUUCCGAUUUGGCUCGGUCCUUGUUCGAAUUUGUUGCUGCUGUUUGUUUCAUCUUCCUUUCGAGUUCAAUUGUUGGAACUCUCAUUAGAUUGUAAUCGUUGAAGAUUCAAAAAUAUCAAAAGCAAUUCAGAUGGAAAAUGAGGCAGAGACACAGAAUGAACUUUAAAUUGUUGAAAAAGUUGGUGAAAGUAAUGCUUCAACUGAUUCCACAACCAACAACAGUGAAUCUGAAUCUGGUUCGAAGAAAAGAAAAAUGGUUAAAGAAAGAUCAAUUGCUUGGCGCUGCUUCAACAAGUUCACUAAUGCCGAGGGUGUGAAAAAAGUGAAAUGCAAGUAUUGUUCAGAAGAAUAUGUAGCUGAUACCAAGCAUAGCGGCACAAGCCAUUUGUUAUUUCAUAUUCCCAAAUGUCCGACCAAUCCCUACAAGGCAGAAACAAGCCAGACAACAUUAGGUUUUCAACCGAAAGAUCUAACAGGUGAUGUUUCAGUUAUCCCUUGGAAAUUUGAUCAAGAGGCAUGUAGGAGGGCUUUAGCUCGUAUGAUUAUUAAAGAUGAACUUUGCUUUAUUUUUGUUGAAAAAGAUGGAUUUAGAGACUUUGUGAGAACUCUUCAACCUUUAUUUCAUAUUUCAUCUCGUACUACUAUGACUACGGAUUGUCUUGAGAUGUACCAUGUAGAGAGACUUGCUUUGAAGUCUAUUCUUAAAGAAUAAAAACAGAGAAUAUGUAUUACUACUGAUACAUGGACUUUAAUUCAAAGAAUUAAUUAUAGGGAUAA